GCGGACGCGAGCGCGAAAGCGCGAGGAAUCCCUGGAAUGAGGCGCCGCCCGCCCUCACCCGGGCUCUGCGGGCUCCGCGGGCUCAGCCAGGCCCGCCAGGACACGCCCCCGGCGUGCCCCGCCCACCGAGCAGGUGGGGCCCAGCCCAGAAAUGGCCACAAUCUGAUCUACCUUGAAGUCAUGUGUCCAUGAGGGUCCUGGAAGUCAAGCAUGGCCCAGUGAUGAGAAAUGAGAGGGAGAAGAGGCAGAAUCACAGGGUAUACAACGAGCUGCCAGCAGACAGCGGGGGUCGGGGUAGCACAAGGCUUGUGUAAUCAGUGCAACACAUUGAAAGACCCUCAGGAGUCCAGUGAGAGCCCAGAAAUGAGGCCCACUUCCACCAUGACCCAAUGUGGAUUUCACCCUUCACCCAACUGGAUGGAGUCCAGCCAUGAGGCCAUUUUGCAUGGUAGUAACCUGAGCCUUGAGCUGCUUGGGGAAUUUGGUGAAGAGACAUGCUUGAGGGCAGUGUUCCAAGGACCGUGGAGGUACCGUUGCAAACCUGUCAGGAGUCAGUGGUGAGCAUUUUUCUGAAUGUCAGCUCUUCAUAGCACAGUUCUGAAUGAGUUCCCCUUAAGCAAGACCAGACCAAUUGCUCAGACCUUGCAUCUCUGAGUGAGUGAGAUCUAACACUGAUCACAGAUUGGAUUUGUCCUCACACAAGGAUUUUCCUUCAUAUACUGUAAGAACAGCUCUGCUUGGCAAUAUUUUCUUGCUGCCUUUCCUAAGAGACAAAGUUCAGUGGGGUGGGGCAGGAGAUAAUGAGCCAUUUUCCACCGAAACGAAUGUUGCAGAUGCUAGAUUUAAGGCCAGCUAGAGUUUGGGCACAAUUAACUAGCUACCUGUCAGGCAGAGAAUGGUUUGAGUUGGAGAACUUACCCAAAAUGAGCAUGUGUUUUUCCUCUGAGUGUGGAAUCACUUGGAGGACGAUAAUACCUCAGGGAGAAAUUCUCCAAACCAAGAUUGCCAUGUCUUGCUUGGAUCCAAUUUCUUCUUUUGCAUUCAGCUCUUACAAGCAUGUGCUAUAUAUAGGCAAGAAGAAAGUAAACAAGGAAGGAGGAAGGCAACAGUACCAGGCGCCAGGUACAUGCGAGGCACUACGCUGGGCAUUCUCAUUUAAUGCCACGUGAUCCUGCGAGGAAGACAUUCACGACCCCAUUCUACAGAGAGAACAUGGGGGCACAGAAAGGGUGAGAUAUUUGCCUUGGUGCAACUACUUGAAUCAUGCAAAGCCAGGAUUCAAACCAGCUGUCCUGAUCCUCAUUCAGCAAUCUUCGACAAUACGACUAAGUUCACCCAGAAAAGACCCUUUUGAUAAUCUCUAAGUAAAUCGUUGAUUCUGUUCUUGUAGACCAACACUUCAACUCUGAAGGAAACAUCACCUCUGGUUGCCCAUCCUCUGUACUACCUUGUGGAAUUGAAAGUUACCGGGUUCCAACAUCAUUUUUGACACUGUGAAAGGCAGAUGGGAAUUAGGGAGGCUUCGGCGUCACACCAGAGUUCAAACCUGGGUCCCCCCACUCUAGCUGCACGACCUUGGGUGCACACAUGGACCCUUCCCUGAUUUCCACUCUCUCACCUAUACAAUGGGAGUGAUUCCGAUUUAGAAAGGUGUUUGCAAGACAAAUACGGACAGGUGCAGAGACAGAUAUUGUAUGAUCUCACCUAUAUGGGGUAUCUUUAAGUAAAUAAAGUAAAUAAGUAAACAAGCAAACAAACCAAACUCAUAGAAAAAGAGAUCAAAUUUAUGGUUACCAGAGGAGGGUAACCAUACGAAAGUGACUUGGAGGUAGGUGGUCAAAAGCAACAAACUUCAGCUGUAAGAUAAAUGAGUACUAGGGAGGUCGCAUACCGCAUACUGACUGUAGCUACCACUGCUGUGGGGUGUAUCCGAAAGUUAAGAGAGUAGAUCCUAAGUUCUCAUCACAAGGAAAGAAAACAUUUUGUCUUUUUCUUUCUUUUGCAUCUCUGUGAGAUGAUGGGUGUUAACUUACUGUGGUGAUUGUUUCACAAUAUAUGUAAAUCAUUACAUUAUACACCUUAAACAUACACAUUGCUGUAUGACAGUUAUAUCUAAAUAACUGGAGAAGGGGAAGGAAAGCCUGAGCUAAAAAAAAAAAAAAGGAUUGAGGAUUUUAUAAAGUACUAAAUAAUUUGAAAACUAUUAAAAAUUAUUCAAUACUUAAUCAACUUGAUUACUUAAGACAGCUUUAACAUCCAAGUCAACCUUGCUUUGGCUGAUGAAUUCAUAUUAGCUUGGAUUUUUUUUUUUAAGUGUUUGUACAUAUUAGAACAGUCACAUGAUCAAUAAAAGUGGGUCCCAGCUCAAAGUUUAAUGUGUCUACUGCAUACUGUGCUGGAAUACCCAGUAAGCAGACUGUUUGUAUGUAGGGCACCACAGUGUACAAACCUAUAUUUGAAAGAAUCUGAUAUAUAUUUAUAUAAAUGACUAGCCAUCUUGGGCACUAUUUCUUUAGACUAUUUUUACAGCUUGAUAUUCUGAAUUACAUAUAUAAGGAGGCACCAUAAUCCUUCCGUGCUCACUGGCAGUAGGGGAAGUAGGUUUGGGUCCAACAUAGAUGAGGUUUCUGAAAAGAGGGAAAAAAGAAGGGCAAGGCUUUUCAUUUUUUUCCUUCCAGAGUGGGAGAAAGCUUCCCAAAGAACAGUCAGCUGAUGCCUCAGGGUGGUAGUACUGUCACUUCUGUCCCUUUGAGGCUACUAAAGCCCAGGGCUGCCCAGCCCACUGCUCCGGGAAGUCCAUGCAGGCCCUGGGGUCAGGCACUGUGAGGGUCCUGGAUCUGAUUAGGG